rnacentral:rRNA from 1 species
GAUGAACGCUGGCGGCGUGCCUAAUACAUGCAAGUCGAGCGAACAGAUAAGGAGCUUGCUCCUUUGAAGUUAGCGGCGGACGGGUGAGUAACACGUGGGUAACCUACCUAUAAGACUGGGAUAACUUCGGGAAACCGGAGCUAAUACCGGAUAACAUUUAGAACCGCAUGGUUCUAAAGUGAAAGAUGGUUUCGCUAUCACUUAUAGAUGGACCCGCGCCGUAUUAGCUAGUUGGUAAGGUAACGGCUUACCAAGGCGACGAUACGUAGCCGACCUGAGAGGGUGAUCGGCCACACUGGAACCGAGACACGGUCCAGACUCCUACGGGAGGCAGCAGUAGGGAAUCUUCCGCAAUGGGCGAAAGCCUGACGGAGCAACGCCGCGUGAGUGAUGAAGGGUUUCGGCUCGUAAAACUCUGUUAUUAGGGAAGAACAAAAGUGUAAGUAACUGUGCACAUCUUGACGGUACCUAAUCAGAAAGCCACGGCUAACUACGUGCCAGCCGCCGCAGUAA